AGUGAACGCUGGCGGUAGGCCUAACACAUGCAAGUCGAACGGCAGCACAGUAAGAGCUUGCUCUUACGGGUGGCGAGUGGCGGACGGGUGAGGAAUACAUCGGAAUCUACUUUUUCGUGGGGGAUAACGUAGGGAAACUUACUCUAAUACCGCAUACGACCUACGGGUGAAAGCAGGGGAUCUUCGGACCUUGCGCGAUUGAAUGAGCCGAUGUCGGAUUAGCUAGUUGGCGGGGUAAAGGCCCACCAAGGCGACGAUCCGUAGCUGGUCUAAGAGGAUGAUCAGCCACACUGGAACUGAGACACGGUCCAGACUCCUACGGGAGGCAGCAGUGGGGAAUAUUGGACAAUGGGCGCAAGCCUGAUCCAGCCAUACCGCGUGGGUGAAGAAGGCCUUCGGGUUGUAAAGCCCUUUUGUUGGGAAAGAAAAGCAGCAGGUUAAUACCCCGCUGUUCUGACGGUACCCAAAGAAUAAGCACCGGCUAACUUCGUG
rnacentral:rRNA from 1 species